rnacentral:rRNA from 1 species
GCCCCGCCUGGGGAGUACGGCCGCAAGGCUGAAACUCAAAGGAAUUGACGGGGGCCCGCACAAGCGGUGGAGCAUGUGGUUUAAUUCGACGCAACGCGAAGAACCUUACCGGGGUUGGAACUGCGUUCGGCACUGGCAGAGAUGCUGGGUUCCUUUCGGGGACGGACGUGGAGGUGCUGCAUGGCUGUCGUCAGCUCGUGUCGUGAGAUGUUGGGUUAAGUCCCGCAACGAGCGCAACCCUUGUCUGUAGUUGCCAUCAGGUGAAGCUGGGCACUCUACGGAGACUGUCGGCGAAAAGCCGGAGGAAGGUGGGGAUGACGUCAAGUCCCCAUGGCCCUUAUGUCCCGGGCUACACACGUGCUACAAUGGGCGUCACAGAGGGCAGCGAACCUGCAAAGGCAAGCGAAUCCCACAAAGACGUUCUCAGUUCGGAUUGCAGUCUGCAACUCGACUGCAUGAAGGUGGAAUCGCUAGUAAUCGCGGAUCAGCACGCCGCGGUGAAUACGUUCCCGGGCCUUGUACACACCGCCCGUCACAUCACGGAAGUGGGCUGCACUAGAAGUCGCUGGCCUGACCCUUCGGGGAGGGAGGCGCCGACGGUGUGGUUCAUGACUGGGGUGAAGUCGUAACAAGGUAA